ensembl:lncRNA ZNF213-AS1 ZNF213 antisense RNA 1 (head to head)
AGGCUAAUUUUUGUAUUUUUAGUAGAGAUGGGGUUUCACCAGGUUAGCCAGGCUGGUCUUGAACUCCAGACCUCAAGGGAUCCGCCUGCCUCAGCUUUCCAAAGUGCUGGGAUUACAGGUGAGAACCACUGCACCCAUCCUAUUAAACUUUUAAAUCAUGAUAGUUACCAUGUAUAGAGUGUUUAUAUGCCAGGCAUUGAGCUAAGUCUUUUACGUCUUGCGCUCAUUCUGUGCAACAGCCCAAUGGGAGAAAUUCCAUGAAUAUAGUUACCAUUUCCUUGAUUUCUAGAGAAGCUGGAUAUGUUUUCUUUUUUUCCAGUAUUAUUUCUAUUUAUCCUUUUGUGAAUUGUCUGUUGUUAUUUUCAUUGGAAUAUUCUCUUUUUUUGACAGAGUCUCACUCUGUUGCCCAGGCUGGAGUGCAAUGGCACGAUCUCGGCUCAUUGCAAACCUCUGCCUCCUGGGUUCAAGCAAUUCUCCUGCCUCAGCCUCCCAAGUAGCUGGGAUUACAGGCACCCGCCACCACGCCCAGCUAAUUUUUUGUAUUUUUAGUAGAGACGGGGUUUUGCCAUGUUGGCCAGGCUGGUCUCGAACUCCUGACCUCAGGUGAUCCACCCAUUUCGGCCUCCCAAAGUACUGGGAUUACAGGCGUGAGCACCUGUGCCCGGCCACACCAUUAUUUUGAAGAGAAAAUUUGAUAAAAAUAAUUGGUCAGUUGUAAAGAUGGUUAACUACCCAACUGGUAAGAGAGAUUUCUAAGAGUUACAGAAUAGCAACUGCAGGAAGGAACUUGUGCCCUUAGGACUGAGGAAGUAAAAAGGAGGGAAACUUGGAAACACGAAAGAGCCCUUCCCCUUUCAAUUCAAGGUGGAGACUGGACCUCAGAAGAGGGAGUGGGUGCCCCGAGAACUCACAGCUAGCGGACAGUGGAAAGGGCAGGAGCCGGACCAAGGUGAGGACAGUGGAACUGAAGGCCGCUGGUUACCUCUCCUGCCCUCCGCUGGCCACAGUGGAGAAGACAGCCCCUCCCUCCUGCUCUGACCUGACAGUGUUCAUCCAUCGCCCUGUAUUAGCGAAGAACAACAUCAAGCUGGCUAGCAAGGAACUGUAUACAGGGUCCAGCUGGGUAUCACACUGGAUCUCACCCAAAGCUUAGAUGUGAUCCAGCUCAGUAUCACAAAGCAGAACGAAAAGGAUGUGUUUGGGCUGAGAGGCCAUACAUUGGCUCCGGCAUGACGGGUGACUUCUUCCGAGUCUGGCUUCUGCAGCACACAGGGCUUCGCCAGCACCCAGCUCCUGCAGCAUGGGCAGCUCCUGUGACAGCAGGCGCCCGCAGCCUGCAAAGCGUCUCCAGUGCCGCCGCCUCAGUGAACCUCAACCAGCGGCACCUAGCAGCUUUCUCUGCCACCCUCUUCAGGUAGUUCUGUAGCAGCGCGUUUCUCAUGAGACACUUCCCUGUGAGCAGCUUUUUCUACCCUUGAGGAUGGAUUUCCAGCAAAUUCUGCCCAUGUGGUACCACAGCCACUUCUCUGCCAUUCAGUGAAACUGCCGUUGUGCCCUCUUCAAGGUCUGGAUCUAAGCCCAGGGACCAGGAAACCUCUUGCUUGAGUGCUGGAACUCAGGCCAGAAGGUAUGGCUGCUGCUAUGUGCUGUGACCAGAGAAUCAGAGUUCUCUUUACUUCUUACCAGCCAACCUCUUGAAAAUGCCUUUUUGUUUUUUGUUUUUUUUUGAGACGGAGUCUCGCUCUGUUGCCCAGGCAGUGCAGUGGCUCACUGCAACCUCCGCCUCCUGAGUUCAAGUGAUUCUCCUGCCUCAGCCUCACAAGUAGGUGGGAUUACAGGCAUGUGCCACCACGCCCAGCUAAUUUUGUAUUUUUAGUAGUGACGGGGUUUCUCCAUGUUGGUCAGGUUGGUCUCAAACUCUCGACCUCAGGUGAUCCACCUGUCUCAGCCUCCCAAAGUGCUGGGAUUACAGACGUUAGCCAGAGCGCCCAGUCUAAGCCCUUUAUAGCUUAA